AUGACAAUUAGAUAUUUUGUGUUUAAAAACCAGCCAAUCCCAUUUUAUAUGAAGCGAGGCAAUGUAUAAAGAGACCAAUGCGCUUUCGGCCUCUAUUUUUCUCUCCAUUUAGACAAAUCAGUUUGUUAAUUUUCAUUUUAUGAUCUAAAAUUUUGAAUGAAACAUCAUUUUAAUGACAAAGCAUAUCAGGAUGAAUUAUUGCUUCUUUGAUUUCUUUGUUUCAAUUCUACAGUAUAUAAUUUAUAAUCUUAUCCCCUCCCUUCUUACAUUGAGUAGAGGUUGGUGUGAACAAUUUCAUCCAUGAAAAGGAGUUUCGUACAGGAGUAUUGUAUAUUUGAGGAUCCUACCACA
rnacentral:misc_RNA from 1 species